UACGUAGGGGGCUAGCGUUAUCCGGAAUUACUGGGCGUAAAGGGUGCGUAGGUGGUUUCUUAAGUCAGAGGUGAAAGGCUACGGCUCAACCGUAGUAAGCCUUUGAAACUGGGAAACUUGAGUGCAGGAGAGGAGAGUGGAAUUCCUAGUGUAGCGGUGAAAUGCGUAGAUAUUAGGAAGAACACCAGUAGCGAAGGCGAUUCUCUGGACUGUAACUGACGCUGAGGCUCGAAAGCGUGGGGAGCAAACAGG
rnacentral:rRNA from 1 species